ACUACUUCAACCCAUUGCAUCCAUUCAAAUUCAAUCCAAUUCCAUCCACUACUCCUCUCCUUUCUCUCUAUGCUUAAAACCCUAGCCAUUUUUCACACACGCAAGUUUUUUCCAAGAUCUAGUUGACUAGUUUCAGUAACAAAACACCCGGCAAAGAUCAUGACGGUGGUGCCAUAAUCAACCGAACAGGAGCUGAUGAGCUCUCCAACUGACGGCAUAUCAAAUGUCCCCUUCUCAAACCACAGUGACAAUCUAUUGGUUUCUUCUUAGGAUAAGAGUGAUACGCUGUUCAAUUUUAAAGUUGUUCAAUUUAAAGAAUCAUCCCACAACUUUAAAGCAGUUCAAUUUCUUGUUGAUCUUGUCAUUUUCAAUUUUUCGGGCUUUGUGAGAUCCUUAUUAGAUGUUGACUAGUCGGAGAAUCUCAUCUCUUCUCUCUCGCUCACUUCAUUUGCUUCCUCGAAGAGGGGCGGACCCAGAGACUUCGGACUGUGGGGUCAAAAAUGAAAUUUUUUUCGAACAACGUAUCAUUAGCGAAAAUAAAUUCAUAUGCUACUACAAUUGUAGCCUAUGCGUUUUCAUACUUUGAAAACGUCGUAUAAUUACAUCGUUAUCAAUAUUGUCAUGUACAUCACUCUCAAUAUAUGUAACCAAACUAUCACUUAACUAUUGAUCUCCCAUUCGAUUACCCAAUCAAUUCUUGACAAUCUUCAUUGUAGAAAAUACUCUUUCUACCGUAGCAGUUGCAACUGGAAGAAUUAACACCAAUGUUACAAGCCUGUAAACUAAUGGGUACACCUCAUGUUUUUUUGUUACAACCAAGGUUUCUGCAAGAUCAUUAAGGCCUUGUAACCCUUCAAAAUCUUUGUGAGUGCGCAUAUCAAUAAUAUACGUCUGAAUUUACUCUUCAACUGCCAAGAUCUCUAUUGGUUUAAAAUCUUUGGGAUAAUACUCACACAACUGAAUUAACUUAUCCUUCUUGAAAGCAGAGAAUGAAUUAUCCGGACACAAGCAUGCAACAUAAAGGAGUAAGUCACUAUUUACCUCAGAGAAACGAUCAUUUAACUCUUGAAUUUGCAUAUCGAUGAUAGCAUAGAAGAAAUCCACAUGAAAAUGAUGUAGAUUUGUAAUUUCUUGAGUGUUAAGCCAUGAACGGCCUAGAGGUAUAAACAUAUCGUCCAUAUUGGAAACAUCAAUAUUGUACCUUUCGCAAAAGCAAGAAACUGUUCUUAAAAAU